rnacentral:rRNA from 1 species
UACAGAGGGGGCAAGCGUUGUUCGGAAUUACUGGGCGUAAAGGGCGCGUAGGCGGCCUUCUAAGUCGAACGUGAAAUCCCUGGGCUCAACCCAGGAACUGCGUCCGAUACUGAAAGGCUUGAAUCCGGGAGAGGGAUGCGGAAUUCCAGGUGUAGCGGUGAAAUGCGUAGAUAUCUGGAGGAACACCGGUGGCGAAAGCGGCUCACUGGACCCGAUCUGACACUGAUGUGCGAAAGCUAGGGUAGCAAGCGGG